rnacentral:rRNA from 1 species
GACGAACGCUGGCGGCGUGCUUAACACAUGCAAGUCGAACGAUGAAGCGGGUGCUUGCACUCGUGGAUUAGUGGCGAACGGGCGAGUAACACGUGAGUAACCUGUCCUUUUCUUUGGGAUAACGGCUGGAAACGGCUGCUAAUACUGGAUAUUCAGGCUGCAUCGCAUGGUGUGGUUUGGAAAGGUUUUUUCUGGGAUUGGGUGGGCUCGCGGCCUAUCAGCUUGUUGGUGGGGUGAUGGCUUACCAAGGCUUUGACGGGUAGCCGGCCUGAGAGGGUGGUCGGUCGCACUGGGACUGAGAUACGGCCCAGACUCCGACGGGAGGCAGCAGUGGGGUAUAUUGCACAAUGGACGAAAGUUUGAUGCAGCGACGCCGCGUGGAGGGUGUAGGCCUUCGGGUUGUGAACUCCUUUUUCUCGCGAAAAAGGCACAGUUUUGGCUGUGUUGAUGGUAGUGGGGGAAGAAGCGCCGGCUAACUACGUG